AGUAGAUUAGAUCCAUGUCUCUUUGAAUCUUUUAAGUGUUCUUGUUCUGUUUGUGUUUGAGAAAAGUAGAACUUUGUGGACUAAUUAUUCACAUAAACACUGUUUCUGCUGCAUCUUUUGUGUGUGGUUUUAGUAGUUAUAGUGUUACUUUGUAAGAAAUGCUCAUUUGAUUCAUUCACAUUGCGUCAAGCGAUCUGCUCUGUGAUUGUUCUUGACGUUUUCAGUAUGUAUGGCUGGCCAAAUCUGAGAGCUUUUCAUGUCUAAAUUGGUUUCUCGAGCUCUUUUUCUUUUGUGAUGGUUUCAGUCUUUUCUUUUAUAGGUUUCUUCAGCUAUAUUGCUUGACGAGGGAAUAAAGUAUCGCCUACUAUGGCCGGGUCAGAAGGAGC